CGCCUUCUGGGGUGUUCGUUGUCAGGAUUCGGCACUCUUGAACCUUUCUCGUGAUCCCUGGAUACCGGCAUUUGAAGCUGUUGUGCAAAACCGCCUGGGUUAGCGGGAAGCCUGAGGCUUUAAACUGGUUUCCGACUUGGACCUUUCGGUUCAAGCACUCGACCUGAUAACGGCAUUUCCGGUCGGCGC
rnacentral:other from 1 species